rnacentral:rRNA from 1 species
GACGAACGCUGGCGGAAUGCUUUACACAUGCAAGUCGAACGGCAGCACGGGUGCUUGCACCUGGUGGCGAGUGGCGAACGGGUGAGUAAUAUAUCGGAACGUACCUUAUCGUGGGGGAUAACGCAGCGAAAGCUGUGCUAAUACCGCAUACGCCCUGAGGGGGAAAGCGGGGGAUCGAAAGACCUCGCGCGAUUAGAGCGGCCGAUGCCUGAUUAGCUUGUUGGUGGGGUAAAAGCCCACCAAGGCGACGAUCAGUAGCUGGUCUGAGAGGACGAUCAGCCACACUGGGACUGAGACACGGCCCAGACUCCUACGGGAGGCAGCAGUGGGGAAUUUUGGACAAUGGGGGCAACCCUGAUCCAGCAAUGCCGCGUGAGUGAAGAAGGCCGUCGGGUUGUAAAGCUCUUUUGUCAGGGAAGAAACACCGGCUCUAACACAGUCCGGGAAUGACGGUACCUGAAGAAUAAGCACCGGCUAACUACGUGCCAGCCGCCGCAGUAA